rnacentral:rRNA from 1 species
UACGUAGGGGGCUAGCGUUGUCCGGAAUCAUUGGGCGUAAAGCGCGUGUAGGCGGCCCGGUAAGUCCGCUGUGAAAGUCGGGGGCUCAACCCUCGGAAGCCGGUGGAUACUGUCGGGCUCGAGUACGGAAGAGGCGAGUGGAAUUCCUGGUGUAGCGGUGGAAUGCGUAGAGAUCCGGAAGAACACCGGUGGCGAAGGCGGUCUGCUGGGCAGUUGCUGACACUGAGGCGCGACAGCGUGGGGAGCAAACAGG